ensembl:lncRNA
GCACCAGAGCCGUGGAGAGGCACAGUACGGAGGGAGAGAUGAUGAUGAAGAUGGGGGAGGAGAAAUGAAGAAAGGAUGGUUUUUACACCUCUGCCUCUUUCCUUUCAUUUCAUUUGUGUCAUUUGUGUGUCGCAGGCUGUGAAAGCUCCUCCAUGUGUUUUUCAGAGAAGUUACUGAUGGAACGCAUUCUGCUGUUGGCAAUCCUGCCCGGUCUUCUACUAGCUGACCCUGCUAACUUUACAGCUCCAAACACCACUUUAACUGUUCCUAAGACACCUCACACAGCAAGCUCAGCACAUGAGAACAUAAGAAUCACGACACCCACCACUACAAAGCUCCCACCUGAACUGUUCAGGCUGAAGGUGUACUGGGACAAAAAAAAUGUGUGCCAGGGCAAAAUAGUCCAUUUUACUGGUAAAAGAAAGACUAAGGGUCUUUGUGCCAACCCUGCGUUACGGAAACUCAGCAUGGAGCUGUGUGAGGAGAGAAGAUGUGGAAAGUUCCUGGAGUUUUCUUACGAUUUGACUGCUGAUCAUAACGGUCACAUGAUCAACGAUAACCUAAUACCUGGGAGCUCUCAAGGGUGCGAGAUUGUAUCCAAUGUAAUCUGUGAAGGCAACAAUGAACUGCUGACCUAUAAGGUAAUAACAGGCCUGCUGCUGGUGCUGAUUCUGGCUGUCCUCCUCUUUCGAUUUGCACGACCGGCAUACAACGCCUUCCGCAAGAGAUUUUCCAAGAAGCAUCAGAAUCGAUGGAUCGGCCCGACGCAGAGUCAGAGUGGUGAGUCAUUUCACUCUAUCUGUGCUAUUUGCUGCGAACAUAUAUUUGCACACACACACACACACACGCACACACACACACACACUCACACACACAAACAAACACACACACAAACACAUGCAUGCACAUUUUUGCAGAGGUUUAGGAAAGAGGAUGCGACUAAUCAAUUUCUGUCAUUUUUAGUGUCCUAUCACAGAGGCCAGGGUCUUCAUCUAAAGGCCGAUACAGGCAAAAGACAAUCUUAUCCUGGUUUGGAGAUACCUUCAUCAAACAGGAACAGUGAAUACGACUCGUACAGCUACACUUAAUCACCCCUCGGCUUGCGGGAUCACAGCGCGGGAGCAGCAGCGGGCUUUGAUUUGUGUAAACGAUCACAUGAAGGUUUUUUUUCCUUUCCACACAUAUGACCUAUAGCUCUGUGCUGUUGUGCUCAGUGGAAUCGAGGCAAGAAAAAAAAAAUUACGUCAACGCAAAACAAUUGAAACGAUCUAAAAUAUUACAAUUGUGCAAACUGACAAAUAACAAGUUUUGGGAGUUAGUGAGGGUGUUACCCCACACUUAUCUGUUCAUCUGUUCCAUCACAAAUCUGCAAAUCUCUGUAGUAAACAAGUGUCAGAAAGCAAGGUAAACAAUGUUGCUUAUUUAUUUAUUUGCUUGAUUGCUUAAUAAGAGAUUUAUACCAGCAAGUGCUUUACCAAACAGGAUUUCUUGUAAAUGUGCUGUAUAUUAUAAUAUUUAGGUCUCUGAGUGAAGACGUUGCAGUAAAGUCACCAGCAAAACUGUAAUGGAAAUAGAAAAUUACAUAGUAUUAUCUGUAAAAAUGAAUAGAACAAACAGCUUUCGUUAUAUAAUAAGAAACUGAGAAAAAUGUAUUAAAGGAGUGAGAUAAUGUGAUAAUUAGCGUCCAUUCAAUCAGUGACAUGUUACUAUGCUAUUUAUGCUGUUACUAUAUUGUUACUGUCCUGCAAAAACCUUGAAUUCUAAAUGUUGCCACUUUUUACUUUUUGGCAAUGUAAAUCUGGAAGUUGUUCUUUACAUUGUAUCAAAAGUUAAUCUUUUUAUAUCAACUCCUAUUGAAACUGAAGACUUUUCCCUCCUAUUCUAAAGGGCUAUCUUGGAAAUACAUGGUUUUUGUGUGACAGCGACACCAUGCUUGUUGUUUUUUUUUUUUUUUUUAUUACUAGUAUCCUGCCUACAAUUUAAUCUUAAAGAUGAGCCUGUUUAAUAGGAGAGACCAGAGAUGCUACUAGUGGACAGUUGUACCUUAGGUGCAGAAAGCUUGUUGUUUUGUAAAGUUUCAGAAACUGUUUUGUAUAUGAAGUGUGUCUACACUGGCUUUUUACUGGCAUGUUCUGCAGUCUAUUAAGCUUAUUGUGUGUUAAUAAUAACAAUAAUAAGAGAAUGCUCUUUUUUACUCAUGAUUUCUGUUUCUGAUCUUUGGAAUUCCUAUGCAACAGUAGGUUUAGACGAGGUUUUACUGCUACUUUUCUUUAAAGCAAAUCUUUAAUAAUAAAACUUGUUGCAGAAAUUCA